CUGGUUCCUCGGCCAUACUGCGCAGGCGCAGAGCCGCUAGUGGCAUUAGUAUCAGGACUCUAGAUGGGUACACGAAUGUGGGAGCUGGAAGUAAGUCUCCGUGAAACACAAGGCAGUCGGAGCCUAUAGAAGGUCUCACUUAACUGUGAAGAGAGUGGAAGGCUGUAAAGACCUGAGAGAAAAGCAAUCAGAAGGAUCAGAAGCAUCUAGCACACGCAGCUUGUGGCACCCUUGAAGUAGGAUUGGAAGAACACAGGGUGAGACCAAUAAGGCCCAGGGACCCGAUUCUGCAGCACGUUUCUGGGCCACAAUAAGCAAGAAGCAUUGAUCCCGACGUCAGAGAAGAGCUGACCUUCGAAGAACCCUCAGGAAGUGAAGAGAGCCUGUGUUACAGUCGGUGAAACAAUAACAUGUACCAAGUCUUCAUGUACAUACUCCAGAACCUCUGGGUUUGAGGGACACUAAAUCGCCAGUCACUAAAAGAAAACACAAACCAUUGCAAACUUCGACUACCUGAAUAACCCAAGAAACUAAGCUUUCAUUUUCCUCAUCUGAUUAGCCAGAGAAUGUAAUACAUUAUUUCAUCAUUUCAAAAUUUCAAAUUCAUAUUUCUUCUACCUCUCCGUGGUAGGAAAUGUAGUCACGUGUGCCUGCAAUUUUGUAACAGGAUUUCCUCAAGAAUAAAAAAAAAUAAUCAGUCUUGGCUUGAUGAGAGGCAGGUGGGAUGAGCGUUAAAGCCCAAAUGCAGGAUCUGAAAUACCUGCAGGAUUCUGUAAUAAAAAGAGCAGGGGGGUUAGAGCAGAGGAAAGCUGAAUGUGAACCUUGGUGCCUUGGUCCACAUGGGUCAGAGAAGUUGCUGCAGACACCGUGCAGCCUACACUAAGUUGGAUCAAGUACCUUUGAUGCCAGGAGUAAAUGUGGGUGAGGAUUCGGCCACAGAGCAUGGAAGCAUUGGCCACUGGGACUGAGAAGGAUGAUCGUUUUAUUAAAGAAAA